GAGUCGGUGAGUAGUGAGUCCACAAGCUGUGAUAGUGAGUCAAGAAGCCAUGAGUCACUGAGUAGUGAACCCAGAAGCCGUGAGUAGUGAGCCCAGAAGCCGUGAGUCAGUGAGUAGUGAGUCCAGAAGCCAUGAUAGUGAGCCCAGAUG